rnacentral:pre_miRNA from 1 species
UUAGCUCAUUUUUGUAUGGAAUGGGAUCGUUCGCAUACGUUUGCCGCUAGGGGCGCUGUUCCAACUGCAUACAAAAUUGGGUUA